GCCUACUACCCACACUGACUUGACAUCAUCUUCAUGUGCAGGCAACAGAGGUGACACUCUUCAGGCAUCUGAGAAAAUGACAAAUCACAACACCACUCUGGAUCACACAUGUUCUUUAGGUGAUGCUUUGGACCCUCCUGAGGAUGCUAAUGUUGCAAUUCCAGCUGACUACACUUGCUAUACAAAGAAUACUAACUCCAAGUUUCUUCCACUUUGGGCAACAACCAUUUCAAUGUUACUGCUAAAAUCUUCAAUAUGGUUUCUGAAAUUCUUGGCAUUGGUGAUGGCAUGGGUAUUUAAUCUAAUUUAGCAGUGCCAUGCAGUUAAAAUUACCAUGAGCUUAAGAAGGUGACUUAUGUGGAUAUCAUCAUUUUAUAAUCAAACACUCCCCCAAUAAACAACAUCUGAUAAUAAAACCACUGAACUAAGCCUCCACGUUGUCAGCACUUCUCAAAGACAAAGAUAUUCAUUGUGACAUGACACUGCAUAAGAAUCUACUGAUGAUGCCUCUGUUACUGCUCAUCCUGACGGUGCCAACAAUGAUGUUUUUGAUACUACUUAUAAUUCUUGCUUAUU